rnacentral:rRNA from 1 species
AACGAACGCUGGCGGCAGGCCUAACACAUGCAAGUCGAGCGCCCCGCAAGGGGAGCGGCAGACGGGUGAGUAACGCGUGGGAAUCUACCCAUCUCUACGGAAUAACGCAUGGAAACGCGUGCUAAUACCGUAUACGUCCUUCGGGAGAAAGAUUUAUCGGAGAUGGAUGAGCCCGCGUUGGAUUAGCUAGUUGGUGGGGUAAAGGCCUACCAAGGCGACGAUCCAUAGCUGGUCUGAGAGGAUGAUCAGCCACACUGGGACUGAGACACGGCCCAGACUCCUACGGGAGGCAGCAGUGGGGAAUAUUGGACAAUGGGCGCAAGCCUGAUCCAGCCAUGCCGCGUGAGUGAUGAAGGCCCUAGGGUUGUAAAGCUCUUUCACCGGUGAAGAUAAUGACGGUAACCGGAGAAGAAGCCCCGGCUAACUUCGUGCCAGCAGCCGCCGUAAGAC